GUGGGGAAUAUUGCACAAUGGAGGGAACUCUGAUGCAGCAACGCCGCGUGAAGGAAGAAGGUUUUCGGAUCGUAAACUUCUAUCAACAGGGACGAAAAAAAUGACGGUACCUGAAUAAGAAGCCCCGGCUAACUACGUGCCAGCAGCCGCGGUAAUACGUAGGGGGCAAGCGUUAUCCGGAAUUACUGGGUGUAAAGGGAGAGUAGGCGGCAUGACAAGCAAGAUGAGAAAGCCCGGGGCUUAACCGCGGGACUGCAUAAUGAACUGUCAGGCUAGAGUACAGGAGAGGUAAGCGGAAUUCCUAGUGUAGCGGUGAAAUGCGUAGAUAUUAGGAAGAACACCGGUGGCGAAGGCGGCUUACUGGACUGAAACUGACGCUGAGGCUCGAAAGCGUGGGGAGCGAACAGGAUUAGAUACCCGGGUAGUCC
rnacentral:rRNA from 1 species